UACGGGGGGGGCAAGCGUUGUUCGGAAUUACUGGGCGUAAAGGGUUAGUAGGUGGCCAACUAAGUCAGACGUGAAAUCCCUCAGCUUAACUGGGGAACUGCGUCUGAGACUGAUUGGCUCGAGGACAGGAGAGGAACGCGGAAUUCCAGGUGUAGCGGUGAAAUGCGUAGAUAUCUGGAGGAACACCGGUGGCGAAGGCGGCGUUCUGGACUGUUUCUGACACUGAAUAACGAAAGCCAGGGGAGCAAACGGG
rnacentral:rRNA from 1 species